UUNUGAACUGGGUGACUAGAGUGUGUCAGAGGGAGGUAGAAUUCCACGUGUAGCAGUGAAAUGCGUAGAGAUGUGGAGGAAUACCGAUGGCGAAGGCAGCCUCCUGGGAUANCACUGACGUUCAUACCCGAAAGCGUGGGUAGCAAACAGGAUUAGAUACCCUGGUAGUCCACGCCCUAAACGAUGUCGAUUAGCUGUUGGGCAGCAUGACUGCUUGGUAGCGAAGCUAACGCGUGAAAUCGACCGCCUGGGGAGUACGGUCGCAAGAUUAAAACUCAAAGGAAUUGACGGGGACCCGCACAAGCGGUGGAUGAUGUGGAUUAAUUCGAUGCAACGCGAAGAACCUUACCUGGUCUUGACAUGUACGGAACCCUUCAGAGACGGAGGGGUGCCUUCGGGAGCCGUAACACAGGUGCUGCAUGGCUGUCGUCAGCUCGUGUCGUGAGAUGUUGGGUUAAGUCCCGCAACGAGCGCAACCCUUGUCAUUAGUUGCCAUCAUUAAGUUGGGCACUCUAAUGAGACUGCCGGUGACAAGCCGGAGGAAGGUGGGGAUGACGUCAGGUCCUCAUGGCCCUUAUGACCAGGGCUUCACACGUCAUACAA
rnacentral:rRNA from 1 species